GCUCCAGUGACGCAAUCGGUCAGAGCGCGGUACUUAUAAGACAGUACAAUGUUUAGCAAUGCCGAGGUUGUGAGUUCGAACCUCAUCUGGAGCA
rnacentral:tRNA from 1 species